GCAAGUCGAACGGUAACAGGAAGCAGCUUGCUGUUUCGCUGACGAGUGGCGGACGGGUGAGUAAUGUCUGGGAAACUGCCUGAUGGAGGGGGAUAACUACUGGAAACGGUAGCUAAUACCGCAUAACGUCGCAAGACCAAAGAGGGGGACCUUCGGGCCUCUUGCCAUCGGAUGUGCCCAGAUGGGAUUAGCUAGUAGGUGGGGUAACGGCUCACCUAGGCGACGAUCCCUAGCUGGUCUGAGAGGAUGACCAGCCACACUGGAACUGAGACACGGUCCAGACUCCUACGGGAGGCAGCAGUGGGGAAUAUUGCACAAUGGGCGCAAGCCUGAUGCAGCCAUGCCGCGUGUAUGAAGAAGGCCUUCGGGUUGUAAAGUACUUUCAGCGGGGAGGAAGGGAGUAAAGUUAAUACCUUUGCUCAUUGACGUUACCCGCAGAAGAAGCACCGGCUAACUCCGUGCCAGCAGCCGCGGUAAUACGGAGGGUGCAAGCGUUAAUCGGAAUUACUGGGCGUAAAGCGCACGCAGGCGGUUUGUUAAGUCAGAUGUGAAAUCCCCGGGCUCAACCUGGGAACUGCAUCUGAUACUGGCAAGCUUGAGUCUCGUAGAGGGGGUAGAAUUCCGUGUAGCGGUGAAAUGCGUAGAGAUCUGGAGGAAUACCGGUGGCGAAGGCGGCCCCUGGACGAAGACUGACGCUCAGGUGCGAA
rnacentral:rRNA from 1 species